rnacentral:rRNA from 1 species
AACGUAGGUGGCGAGCGUUAUCCGGAUUUACUGGGCGUAAAGCGUGUGCAGGCGGCCUCACAAGUGGUGUGUGAAAUAUCCAGGCUCAACCUGGAGGGGUUAUGCCAGACUGUGAGGCUAGAGUGCGAGAGAGGGGCGUGGAAUUCCGGGUGUAGUGGUGAAAUGCGUAGAGAUCCGGAGGAACCCCAGAGGCGAAGGCGGCGCCCUGGCUCGCAACUGACGCUCAGACACGACAGCAUGGGGAGCAAACAGG